AGUGAACGCUGGCCGUACGUCUAACACAUGCAAGUCGAACGGCAGCACAGUAAGAGCUUGCUCUUACGGGUGGCGAGUGGCGGACGGGUGAGGAAUACAUCGGAAUCUACUUUUUCGUGGGGGAUAACGUAGGGAAACUUACGCUAAUACCGCAUACGACCUACGGGUGAAAGCAGGGGAUCUUCGGACCUUGCGCGAUUGAAUGAGCCGAUGUCGGAUUAGCUAGUUGGCGGGGUCAAGGCCCACCAAGGCGACGAUCCGUAGCUGGUCUGAGAGGAUGAUCAGCCACACUGGGACUGAGACACGGUCCAGACUCCUACGGGAGGCAGCAGUGGGGAAUAUUGGACAAUGGGCGCAAGCCUGAUCCAGCCAUACCGCGUGGGUGAAGAAGGCCUUCGGGUUGUAAAGCCCUUUUGUUGGGAAAGAAAAGCAGCAGGUUAAUACCCCGCUGUUCUGACGGUACCCAAAGAAUAAGCACCGGCUAACUUCGUG
rnacentral:rRNA from 1 species